ACCUGGUUGAUCCUGCCAGUAGUCAUAUGCUUGUUUCAAGGACUAAGCCAUGCAAGUCUCAGAAUAAAUGGAUCACAGUGAGUCUGCAGACAGCUCAUUAAAUCAGCUACAAUCUACGCGGAGAAACUGCCUUAUGGCAGACUAUUGGAUAACUUUGGUAACCCCAAAGCUAAUACAUGUCAGCAAAACCCGCACAGAUUCCACCUCGGGGCCUUGGUCCUGGGGCUGUGUUGGGUGCAAUUGACCGAAACAAAAACCAACGCUAGCAAUAGCAGCGGUGAUUGGAUGAUUCAGGUCAAUCGAGUAGUAGCGCAUACCUCGGUGGCGCUUGUCCGCAUGAGCAUCUGCCCUAUCAGCUUUGACGGUAGUGUAGUGGACUACCGUGGCCAUAACGGGUAACGGGGAAUUAGGGUUCGAUUCCGGAGAGGGAGCCUGAGAAACGGCUACCACAACUAAGGUUGGCAGCAGGCGCGCAAAUUGCCCAAUAGCAACACAUCGCUGAGGCAGCGAAGAGAAAUAGCAACUUCAUGCGGCCCUGCCGUGUGAAGAUUGCCAUGGACGAUAUCUAAACCUGUCGGUGAGUAUCAAUUGGUGGACAAGUCUGGUGCCAGCACCCGCGGUAAUUCCAGCACCAAUAGCGUAUAUUAAUGCUGCUGCUGUUAAAAAGCUCGUAGUUGGAUCAAGAGUUGGACAGUGCACGGUGGCCCCGUUUGCUUGUCUGGCUCCGGUCAGGCAGGCGGCGGCGGAACAACCCCGUGCGCCAAACUGUCCACUCUAACAGACCGAAACGGUUCCCUGUGAGUAGGCUCCUUAAUUGGGGCUGAAAGCGCCUACGCAUCAACCAUAUGCAUACGGGACGUCGGUCAAUGUUACUGUGAACAAACCAGCGUGUCCAAAGCAGGCUUUCGCCUGAAUGUUCGAGCAUGGAAUAACAAGGGAUCGAUUCUCUCGGUUCUUUUUUGUUGGUUUUUAACCCGAGAAGGAGAAAUUCAGGCCACGGUGUCUGAGUUGGGUUUCCCGUNGGCUUCGGCUAGGCCCCCAAUUAAGGCCGUGUCCUUACGGGAUCAAUAGGGACUGACGGGGUCGUACCUACUUCCGCGUCAGAGGUGAAAUUCUUAGAUCGCGGGAAGAGGAACUUCUGCGAAAGCAUUUGACAAGAAUGUCUUCAUUAAUCAAGAACGAGAGUGUGGGGAUCGAAGAUGAUCAGAUACCGUCGUAGUCCACUACUGUAAACAAUGCCGUCUCAGGAUUGAGAAGUGAACAGAAUGACUUUCACAGCACUAACCCCUGAAACGAGAAAUCAAAGAUUAUGGGUUCAGGGGGGAGUACAUUCGCAAGGCUGAAACUUAA
rnacentral:rRNA from 1 species